AUGAGAGAGAUCCAGCGGGAAUGCACAAUGUGGAGGUGCCAGAGGCAGCAGAAACGAGCCCUAACGCCGCCCGCUCGGAAAGCUAAACGCGGAUCUCGCAAACAUCAUCUCUCUAUGAAGGUAUUUUCUCUGGAGCAAUGGGAGAAGCUGGGAUUUUCUUUGGCUCAGCCCCAGCUGGCAUUCACUGCUGUUUAUCAGACCUCCACGCUGGACAGGUGUACCCAUUGCAGAGCAAACACACAGUGUGGCAGCACACGGGAGCACUCUGAGGCAGGGCUUCAGGACAGAAGUGCCGCAAAUGUGGAGCUGCGUGGCAAAGCCCUGCGGGUCCCCACCCUGCACUGCUGCAGGUCCACGUCCCACUGCAGGCACAUCACCUCACCUCUGAGUGACUAAUGCCAGAGGGCAACAGCGGUUCGUUGUGCCGUGCACUCUGUCAGGAAGGUGCCCCAAGCUCCUGGUGACCAGAAACCCCACGAGAGAAGAACUUUCUGGUGAACCUCCUGCUUUUUGAAGAAUGUGUUGUUCUCAGCUCAGUGUGUGCGCAUGAUAAUGAGGGAUUUGGGUUUCCCCUUUGUUUGUCUUUUGCAGUGCCCAGGGGGUUGGAUGUGUAGGAGCAAGUCCUUGGCCCUUCUGCGUGAUGUUAUUCCACCAUAUUCUCUGUUUGUCAGAAGCAGCCAGGAAGGUAUUCAGGGCCCAAGAUUCCUGUGUUGCCCAAGUGUAGGAAGUUACAGCAAUGACAGGCAUCUUUCCUACUCAUUAUCUGAAAGAUCAUGAAACAGAGAUAACAAUAACAGAAAUAAUGGCAGUCAGUGAGAAAUGAAGUUGUUAGUUCUCCUCUGUGUCAGAAUACCCUGCAAACUGACAAGCUACAUAUGGAAAGCAUCACGGUAGUCUGCGUAGCAAAGUACAGUCAGGGAGCACACAUGCAAUGUGCUAGGGCAUUUUUAAGCAAUAUUUAAAGGAAAAGAG
rnacentral:lncRNA from 1 species